UACGUAGGGCGCGAGCGUUAAUCGGAAUUACUGGGCGUAAAGCGCGCGUAGGCUGUUGUGUAAGUUGGGGGUGAAGUCCCACGGCUCAACCGUGGAACAGCCCUUGAUACUGCGCGACUUGAAUCCGGGAGAGGGUGGCGGAAUUCCAGGUGUAGGAGUGAAAUCCGUAGAUAUCUGGAGGAACAUCAGUGGCGAAGGCGGCCACCUGGACCGGUAUUGACGCUGAGGCGCGAAAGCGUGGGGAGCAAACAGG
rnacentral:rRNA from 1 species